CUGAUUUUUUACGUCUGACCUGCCCACUGAAUUUUUUUUUAAAUGGCCGCAGUAUACUAACUGUGCAAAGGUAGCAUAAUCAUUAGUCUUUUAAUUGAAGGCUGGUAUGAAUGGUUGGACGAGAUAUUAACUGUUUCAUAAAAAUUUAUAAUAGAAUUUUAUUUUUUAGUCAAAAAGCUAAAAUUUAUUUAAAAGACGAGAAGACCCUAUAAAUCUUUAUAUUUAUAUUAUUAUAAUUUUGUAGAUUUUUUUUGUUAUGAUAAUAGAUUAUAUUUUAUUGGGGUGAUAUUAAAAUUUAAUAAACUUUUAAUUGUUUAAAUCAUUAAUUUAUGAAUAAUUGAUCCGUUAUUAGCGAUUAAAAAAACAAGUUACUUUAGGGAUAACAGCGUAAUUUUUUUGGAGAGUUCAUAUCGAUAAAAAAGAUUGCGACCUCGAUGUUGGAUUAAGAUAUAAUUUUAGGUGUAGCCGCUUAAAUUUUAAGUCUGUUCGACUUUUAAAUUCUUACCUGAUCUGAGUUCAGACCGGA
rnacentral:rRNA from 1 species